rnacentral:rRNA from 1 species
CCUACGGGUGGCAGCAGUGAGGAAUAUUGGUCAAUGGGAGAAAUCCUGAACCAGCCAAGCCGCGUGAGGGAAGACGGCCCUAUGGGUUGUAAACCUCUUUUGUCGGAGCACAAAACCCGGUACGUGUCCCGGACUGCGUGUAUCCGAAGAAAAAGCAUCGGCUAACUCCGUGCCAGCAGCCGCGGUAAUACGGAGGAUGCGAGCGUUAUCCGGAUUUAUUGGGUUUAAAGUGUGCGUAGGCGGUCCGUUAAGUCAGCGGUAACAUUGCGGGGCUAAACCCCGUCGAGCCGUUGCAACUGGCGGACUUGAGUUGGCGAGAAGUACGCGGAAUGCGCGGUGUAGCGGUGAAAUGCAUAGAUAGCGCGAAGAACUCCGAUUGGGAAGGCAGCGUACCGGAGCCAGACUGACGCUGAGGCACGAAAGCGUGGGGAUCGAACAGGAUUAGAUACCCGGGUAGUC